GAUAAACGCUGGCGGCGUGCCUAACACAUGCAAGUCGAACGCUCUAUCGUCUUUCGGGACGGCAGAGAGUGGCGAACGGGUGAGUAACGAAUCGCUAACGUGCCCCGGACUCUGGGAUAGCUGCCCGAAAGGGCAGGUAAUACCGGAUGACAUAACCGAUCCGCAUGGGUUGGUUCUCAAAGGUCCGCCGGUCUGGGAGCGGGCGAUUUCGUAUCAGCUAGUUGGUGAGGUAACGGCUCACCAAGGCGACGACGCGUAGCCGGACUGAGAGGUUGGC
rnacentral:rRNA from 1 species